rnacentral:rRNA from 1 species
UACGGAGGGUGCGAGCGUUGUCCGGAAUCACUGGGCGUAAAGGGCUCGUAGGUGGCCAACUAAGUCGGACGUGAAAUCCCUCGGCUUAACCGGGGAACUGCGUCCGAUACUGGAUGGCUUGAGAUUGGGAGAGGGAUGCGGAAUUCCAGGUGUAGCGGUGAAAUGCGUAGAUAUCUGGAGGAACACCGGUGGCGAAGGCGGCAUCCUGGACCAACACUGACGCUGAGGAGCGAAAGCCAGGGGAGCAAACGGG